CCUUCGAUAGCUCAGUUGGUAGAGCGGAGGACUGUAGAUCCUUAGGUCGCGUGGUUCGAAUCCGGCUUGAAGGA